CCUACGGGAGGCAGCAGUGAGGAAUAUUGGUCAAUGGACGGAAGUCUGAACCAGCCAAGUAGCGUGCAGGAAGACGGCCCUAUGGGUUGUAAACUGCUUUUAUGUGGGGAUAAAGUGAGGGACGUGUCCCUUAUUGCAGGUACCACAUGAAUAAGGACCGGCUAAUUCCGUGC
rnacentral:rRNA from 1 species